rnacentral:rRNA from 1 species
CCUACGGGUGGCAGCAGUAGGGAAUAUUGCACAAUGGGGGAAACCCUGAUGCAGCAACGCCGCGUGGAGGAUGAAGGUUUUAGGAUUGUAAACUCCUUUUGUUAGUGAAGAUUAUGACGGUAUCCAACGAAUAAGCACCGGCUAACCCCGUGCCAGCAGCCGCGGUAAUACCGAGGGUGCAAGCGGUAGUCAGAAUCACUGGGCGUAAAGAGUGCGUAGGCGGGGUAAUAAGUCAGAUUGGAAAUCCUGUAGCUUAACUACAGAACUGCAUUUGAAACUGUUACUCUGGAGUGUGGGAGAGGUAGGUGGAAUUCUUGGUGUAGGGGUAAAAUCCGUAGAGAUCAAGAGGAAUACUCAUUGCGAAGGCGACCUGCUGGAACAUUACUGACGCUGAGGCACGAAAGCGUGGGGAGCAAACAGGAUUAGAUACCCGUGUAGUC